UACGUAGGGGGCGAGCGUUAUCCGGAUUUACUGGGUGUAAAGGGAGCGUAGACGGCCAUGCAAGCUCGGUGUGAAAGGUGCGGGCACAACCCGCAGACUGCACUGAGAACUGUAUAGCUAGAGUGUCGGAGAGGCAGGCGGAAUUCCUAGUGUAGCGGUGAAAUGCGUAGAUAUUAGGAGGAACACCAGUGGCGAAGGCGGCCUGCUGGACGAUGACUGACGUUGAGGCUCGAAAGCGUGGGGAGCAAACAGG
rnacentral:rRNA from 1 species